UGAGAUAUAGCUCAGUGAUAGAGUGCUUGCCUAGCAUGCACAAGACUGUAGGUUCAACCCCCAUUAACACAC
rnacentral:tRNA from 1 species